AGUGAACGCUGGCGGUAGGCCUAACACAUGCAAGUCGAACGGCAGCACAGGAGAGCUUGCUCUCUGGGUGGCGAGUGGCGGACGGGUGAGGAAUACAUCGGAAUCUACUCUGUCGUGGGGGAUAACGUAGGGAAACUUACGCUAAUACCGCAUACGACCUACGGGUGAAAGCAGGGGACCUUCGGGCCUUGCGCGAUUGAAUGAGCCGAUGUCGGAUUAGCUAGUUGGCGGGGUAAAGGCCCACCAAGGCGACGAUCCGUAGCUAGUCUGAGAGGAUGAUCAGCCACACUGGAACUGAGACACGGUCCAGACUCCUACGGGAGGCAGCAGUGGGGAAUAUUGGACAAUGGGCGCAAGCCUGAUCCAGCCAUACCGCGUGGGUGAAGAAGGCCUUCGGGUUGUAAAGCCCUUUUGUUGGGAAAGAAAUCCAGCUGGCUAAUACCCGGUUGGGGUGACGGUACCCAAAGAAUAAGCACCGGCUAACUUCGUGCCAGCAGCCGCCGUAA
rnacentral:rRNA from 1 species